CCUACGGGUGGCAGCAGUGGGGAAUAUUGGACAAUGGGCGAAAGCCUGAUCCAGCCAUGCCGCGUGUGUGAAGAAGGCCUUCGGGUUGUAAAGCACUUUCAGUGGGGAAGAAAGCCUUGGGGCUAAUACCCUCGAGGAAGGACAUCACCCACAGAAGAAGCACCGUCUAACUCCGUGCCAGCAGCCGCGGUAAUACGGAGGGUGCGAGCGUUAAUCGGAAUUACUGGGCGUAAAGCGCGCGUAGGCGGUCUGAUAAGCCGGUUGUGAAAGCCCCGGGCUCAACCUGGGAACGGCAUCCGGAACUGUCAGGCUAGAGUGCAGGAGAGGAAGGUAGAAUUCCCGGUGUAGCGGUGAAAUGCGUAGAGAUCGGGAGGAAUACCAGUGGCGAAGGCGGCCUUCUGGACUGACACUGACGCUGAGGUGCGAAAGCGUGGGUAGCAAACAGGAUUAGAUACUCUUGUAGUC
rnacentral:rRNA from 1 species